rnacentral:rRNA from 1 species
UGGGGAAUUUUGGACAAUGGGCGAAAGCCUGAUCCAGCAAUGCCGCGUGUGUGAAGAAGGCCUUCGGGUUGUAAAGCACUUUUGUCCGGAAAGAAAUCCUUGGCUCUAAUACAGUCGGGGGAUGACGGUACCGGAAGAAUAAGCACCGGCUAACUACGUGCCAGCAGCCGCGGUAAUACGUAGGGUGCAAGCGUUAAUCGGAAUUACUGGGCGUAAAGCGUGCGCAGGCGGUUUGCUAAGACCGAUGUGAAAUCCCCGGGCUCAACCUGGGAACUGCAUUGGUGACUGGCAGGCUAGAGUAUGGCAGAGGGGGGUAGAAUUCCACGUGUAGCAGUGAAAUGCGUAGAGAUGUGGAGGAAUACCGAUGGCGAAGGCAGCCCCCUGGGCCAAUACUGACGCUCAUGCACGAAAGCGUGGGGAGCAAACAGGAUUAGAUACCCUGGUAGUCCACGCCCUAAACGAUGUCAACUAGUUGUGGGGAUUCAUUCCUUAGUAACGUAGCUAACGCGUGAAGUUGACCGCCUGGGGAGUACGGUCGCAAGAUUAAAACUUAAUGAAUUGACGGGGUCAUAGCUGUUUCCU